rnacentral:rRNA from 1 species
AUUGAACGCUGGCGGCAUGCCUUACACAUGCAAGUCGAACGGUAACGCGGGGCAACCUGGCGACGAGUGGCGAACGGGUGAGUAAUGCAUCGGAACGUGCCCAGUAGUGGGGGAUAGCCCGGCGAAAGCCGGAUUAAUACCGCAUACGACCUACGGGUGAAAGCGGGGGACCGUAAGGCCUCGCGCUAUUGGAGCGGCCGAUGUCAGAUUAGGUUGUUGGUGGGGUAAAAGCCUACCAAGCCGACGAUCUGUAGCUGGUCUGAGAGGACGACCGGCCACACUGGGACUGAGACACGGCACAGACUCCUACGGGAGGCAGCAGUGGGGAAUUUUGGACAGUGGGGGCAACCCUGAUCCAGCCAUGCCGCGUGCGGGAAGAAGGCCUUCGGGUUGUAAACCGCUUUUGUCAGGGAAGAAACGCUCUGGGCUAAUACCCCGGGGCAAUGACGGUACCUGAAGAAUAAGCACCGGCUAACUACGUGCCAGCCGCCGCAGUAACAC